UACGGAAGGUCCGGGCGUUAUCCGGAUUUAUUGGGUUUAAAGGGAGCGUAGGCGGGACUCCAAGUCAGCUGUGAAAUGCCAUGGCUCAACCAUGGAGCUGCAGUUGAAACUGGUGUUCUUGAGUUGUCGCAGGGGCGGUGGAACUCGUGGUGUAGCGGUGAAAUGCUUAGAUAUCACGAAGAACUCCGAUCGCGAAGGCAGCCGCCCGGUGGCCGACUGACGCUGAGGCUCGAAGGUGCGGGUAUCAAACAGG
rnacentral:rRNA from 1 species